GCCAGCGUAGCUCAGUUGGCAGAGCAGCUGAUUUGUAAUCAGCAGGUCGUGGGUUCGAAUCCCUCCGCUGGCU
rnacentral:tRNA from 2 species